rnacentral:snoRNA from 1 species
GAAUGCCAUAAGGUAUCUGAUGCUCGGCAUAUAUAGUUGCUGUGUGUCUCGUUAGAAUGGCAGAUAUUGAGUGGAACAGGUCUUGCGACACUGGUUGCUCCUUCAUGAGCUUCUUGUUACUUUAAUCCUGUUUACAUUG